UGCUUUAAAAUUAUUUUUACUAUAUGUGAAACGAUCAACUAAAUUUUUGUUGAACAAUUAUAAUAUUUGAUCUUAUUAAUUUUCAAGUGUAUCACAAUUGCUUUCUUUAUAAUUAAAAAAAAAAGAACAUCACUUCUAUCAUCUUUUCAAAUCUCCGACAACACAUUUUAAAAACAGCCACAGAGAGGGGCAUGUGAGUAAGUUUUUUGUGGUUUGAAUGGUUUGAGACCACGGAUCAACUUCAGGAUCAAUGGAGGACUAUAAAGACACAUAGGUUCCCUUGGUUAAAAAAUUCAAUAAAGGCUCAAAUAAUUGUGUUUCCGCUGCAUUACUAUAUUGAUAACCACAAAGUAAAGAAAGAGUUUUGGAUUUCAUUUCCCAAAGGUGAAGAGCAAUGGAAAGUAAAGAGAAUAGUUACCCUGACUUGGUGGGUUAGAACACUAUCCAAAAUUAGAAACCUUGAGGUCAAUCGAAGCAUCCAAUAUUAAAUUUUCAGGCUGCACGAGAAAAAGAGAGUUUAAUUUCUAUGCACUAACAUUGUGUAACUCUUUAACAUCAUCAUUGUCACGUAUAUAAGUUAAAAUCCGCCAAAAAAAGGUAGGAUAUUAGUUAGUUUGUAGGUGUAGCUUCCUAGAAUGAUUUACUAAAUUCAGUGAGUUGUUUCAAGGGAUCAAAACAGUGAGUUAUUAUUGGAAUUCCUUCCCCACUCUUAGGUUCCGUUAGUUCAGUUUGUUUUGUAACUCUUUUUCUGUUAUGGUUACUCAAAGAAAAUUUAGGACUAAUAUGUUAACCUUCCCUUUUGUUUCCAUUGUUCCGGAAGCCUCAAGUUUGUUGAACUGAAUUUUCAUAGAUUGCCAGAUUCUAGACUACAAUAUGUGUUCUUGAAUUGUAAUUGAUUAUAAAUUCUUUAAAAUUACCUCACGGUUUUUGUCGAUUGUUUGUACAGAGGGAGUUUCCCACAGGAGAACCCUUCUGGAUUAGCCUCAAUGCCUUUGUAUAAGUCCUUCAAAUGACUCUGUUAUUGAAAUGAAUGUCCCUUGCAUUCACAACAACCUUCAUCUGCGAGCAAAGUAAUGUUCAUCAUCUGCUGAAGCUUCAAUUCUGGACAAGGUAACAACUGGUGAUUUUUCUGAAACAUUCUUAUUCUCAUUCUUCCGCUGAUAUCUUUUCUUCUCUUAGUUUUUGAGUUUUCAAAUGGUGCUUAGUUAUAAGUUGUAGGUUGUUACGUUAUAUUGAUGAUUAAUUGACUAUUACCUUUCAUUUUUUACUUCCUCUAAUGACUGUUCGGGCCAAGUGAACCAUCAAGAGUACUGAUUUGUCUCCGGUGUAAGCAAUCUUGAAUUUACCCAACUUCGAUUGAAAAUUUUAAUAAGAUUAAGCUCCCACCUUUGGUCCUAGCGCUAUUUUUUGAAAAGUUAGGUUGAAGAAAGAUGCCCAACACUUCAAAAAGGUACAUGACACAUCGAGUGCCACACUAUUGCUGUUACAUUGUUGCUACUAUACUCUACUUCCAUUGCUAAGACGUUUUCUCCUAUUCCAACAGGAUAUUUUACAUGUAUUUUGUCAUCACAUACAAAGUUGUAACAGUAACUAAGAAUACCAAGAUGACAGCCACCAAUAGUGCUGGCAAUUUAAGUUCAUUUUUUACUGACCCGUCCAAAUAGCCCAUCAAAUAUUGUUUGGGUUGAAAACAAAUCAAAAAACUGCACGACUCAUCAAUAGCGAAAGUAAACAUUGAGAAGUUGGAGAUAGAGCAUAUAAUAUCAAAUUUGCCAUGAGACGAAUGAGAAGAAAAGCACUGUUAUUAUGUGUGAACAACAAAGGGGGGGCGAUAGGAGAUGGACAUAUCAAAUGGUUCAUUCUUAGUCGAAGAUUGAUAACUUUUCUAUUCAAGAAAUUUUCAAAAAUGGUGAGGUGUGAGUUUUUGUCGAAACUACAGAAAGUUCGUCAAUACUAAAUAGAACUUAUAUAUCAGAUGGUUUUUUUUUAAAAAAAACUAUCAAUUUUUAUACUUUUUUUGUUGGUAAAUCAUGAAUGACCCACAAACGACAAAUUCAUGUUUCAUAUUGUGAUGUAUCAAUAUUUAAGUGCAAUCAAUUAGUAUGUUGAUCUUGUUCUAUUGA